rnacentral:misc_RNA from 1 species
GAAAUGCGAUAAGUAAUGUGAAUUGCAGAAUUCAGUGAAUCAUCGAAUCUUUGAACGCACAUUGCGCCCGCUAGUAUUCUGGCGGGCAUGCCUGUUCGAGCGUCAUUUCAACCAUCAAGCCCCCGGCUUGUGUUGGGGACCUGCGGCUGCGCGCAGGCCCUGAAAAACAGUGGCGGGCUCGCUGUCACACCGAGCGUAGUAGCAUACAUUCUCGCUCAGGGCGUGCUGCGGGUUCCGGCCGUUAAACGACCUUCAUAACCCAAGGUUGACCUCGGAUCAGGUAGGAAGACCCGCUGAACUUAAGC